rnacentral:pre_miRNA from 1 species
AAAAAGACAAACCCUAGUUUCCGUGUCCAACGUUUGACCGUCCGUUUUAUUUAAAAAAAUUAAAAAAAAUUAAAAAGAUAAGUCACGUAUAAAAUAUUAAUCAUGUUUUAUCAUCUAACACCAAUGAAAAUACGAAUUAUAAAAAAAUUUCAUAUAAGACGGACAGUCAAAGUUGGACACGGAAACCCAGGAUUUUCCUUCUU